UAGUAUGGCCCCGUGGCACGUGGGACACACACGAUCCCUCGAUCUCGGAAGUUAAGCAACGUGCAGUUCAGACAGUUCUUGGAUGGGAGACCACCCAAGGAUGACCAGAUGCUAUAGCCG
rnacentral:rRNA from 1 species